CUCUGAACCCCAAGGACAACUGCGAGAAGAUGACUUAGAUCAUGUUUGAGACCUUCACACCCCAGCCAUAUACGUGGCCAUCCAGGCCGUGCUGUCCCUGUACGCCUCUGGCCAUAGCUGGCAUUGUGAUGGACUCCGGUGAUGGGGUCACCAACACUGUGCCCAUCUAUGAAGGGUACACCCCUCCCCCACACCAUCCUGUGUCUGGACCUGACUGGCCGGAACCUGACUGACUACCUCAUGAAGAUCCUCACCCAGUGUGGCUACAGCUUCACCACCACAGUCAUGCAGGAAAUUGUGUGUGACAUCAAGAAAAGGCUGUGCUACAUCCCCCUGGACUUUGAGCAGGAGAUGGCCAUGGUGGGCUCCAGCUCCUCCCUGGAGAAGAGCUACAAGCUGCCCAAUGGCCAGGUCAUCACCAUUAGCAACAAGUGGUUCUGCUGCCCCGAGGCACUCUUCCAAACUUCCUUCGUGGGCAUGGAAUCCUGUGGCAUCCACGAAACUACCUUCAACUCCAUCAUGAAGUCGGAUGUGGACAUCUACAAAGACCUGUAUGCCAACACAGUGCUGUCUGGCAGCACCACCAUGUACCCUAGCAUCACCAACAGGAUGCAGAAGGAGAUUACCGCCCUGGCGCCCAGCGCAAUGAAGAUCAAGAUCAUUGCUCCUCCUGAGUGCAAGUACUCUGUGUGGAUCAGAGGCUCCAUCCUGGCCUCGCUGUCCACCUUCCAGCAGAUGUGGAUCAGCAAGCAGGAGUACAGUGAGUCCAGCCCCUCCAUCGUCCACCGCAAAUGCUUCUAGGUGGACUGUGACUUAGUUGCAUUACACUCUUUCUUGACAAAACCUAACUUGCACUAAAAACAAGAUGAGAUUGGUGUGACUUUGUUUUUUUUGUGGCUGGAGUUUUCUUUUGGCUUGACUCAGGAUUUAAAAACUGGAACGGUGAAGGUGACAGCAGUCGGUUGGAGCGAGCAUCCCCCAAAGUUCUACAAUGUGGCCGAGGACUUUGAUUGUACGUUGUUCUUUUUUUUGAUAGUCAUUCCAAAUAUCAUGGGAUGCAUUGUUACAGGAAGUCCCUUGCCCUCCUAAAAGCCACCUCACUUCUCUCUAAGGAGAAUGGCCCAGUCCUCUCCGGAGUCCACACAGGGGAGGUGAUAGCAUUGCUUUCGUGUAAAUUAUGUAAUACAAUUUUUAAAAAAUCUUCACCUUAAUACUUUUUUACUUUGUUUUAUUUUGAAUGAUCAGCCUUCGUGGCUCCCCAUUUCUUUUCCCCCAACUUAAGAUGUAUGAAGGCUUUUGGUCUCCCUGGAAGUGCGUGGAUGCAGCCAGGACUUACCUGUACACUAACUUGAGACCAGUUGAAUAAAAGUGUACACCUUAAAAAAAAAAAAAAA